UACGUAGGGUGCGAGCGUUAAUCGGAAUUACUGGGCGUAAAGCGUGCGCAGGCGGUCUGUUAAGACAGAUGUGAAAUCCCCGGGCUUAACCUGGGAACUGCAUUUGUGACUGGCAGGCUAGAGUAUGGCAGAGGGGGGUAGAAUUCCACGUGUAGCAGUGAAAUGCGUAGAGAUGUGGAGGAAUACCGAUGGCGAAGGCAGCCUCCUGGGCCAGCACUGACGCUCAUGCACGAAAGCGUGGGGAGCAAACAGG
rnacentral:rRNA from 1 species